rnacentral:misc_RNA from 1 species
UGUGGGAGCGAGCCUGCUCGCGAUGACGUCGGCACAGUCAACUUCCUUGCCGACUGACAGACCGCCAUCGCGAGCAGGCUCGCUCCCACA